UUGAGCUAAUACCGGAUAAGCCCUUCGGGGGAAAGAUUUAUCGCCAUUAGAGCGGCCCGCGUCUGAUUAGCUAGUUGGUGGGGUAAAGGCUCACCAAGGCGACGAUCAGUAGCUGGUCUGAGAGGAUGAUCAGCCACACUGGGACUGAGACACGGCCCAGACUCCUACGGGAGGCAGUAGUGGGGAAUCUUGCGCAAUGGGCGAAAGCCUGACGCAGCCAUGCCGCGUGAAUGAUGAAGGUCUUAGGAUUGUAAAAUUCUUUCACCGGGGACGAUAAUGACGGUACCCGGAGAAGAAGCCCCGGCUAACUUCGUGCCAGCAGCCGCGGUAAUACGAAGGGGGCUAGCGUUGCUCGGAAUUACUGGGCGUAAAGGGAGCGUAGGCGGACUGUUUAGUCAGAGGUGAAAGCCCAGGGCUCAACCUUGGAAUUGCCUUUGAUACUGGCAGUCUUGAGUACGGAAGAGG
rnacentral:rRNA from 1 species